UUUCUUACCUGGCAGUUGGAAUACUACGAUCAAGGGCAUUUCUCCAGGAUGUGGGUCUUCCAUGGCACUUUUUGGUUGGGUAGACCCCUGUGAUUUCCCCAAAUGUGGGAAUCUCAACUUUAUAAUUUAUGGUAGUGUGGGACUGCAUUCGUCCAUUUCCCUU